UGGUUGAUUUCCAACAGAGUGCAUAUAUGUGUGUGUUCAAAUUCAAGAGAGUCACAUUCACUAGCCAAUGGUUAUUCAGAUCCACUCUACUCCUCUUGGUCAGAAAAGAUGCAAGUAUAUAGAUCCAUUCCUCCAGCGUCUAUUGUUAAGAAUGUUAGUAUACAGAGAGAAAGACAAGCGCGAGUGUUAAAUGUACGGCCUUUGGCCUUCAAUUUCAUUCACAUUUACUCCAGGAUACUAUUAUUUUUGUACUAUUUUUCACAGUGUAUGUGAAGCAUCAUGGGUGUUAACUGUCAUAAAACACCACCAUUUCAUGAUAUUUCUUUCAAUUGAUAUAUUUAUUCAUUUUUCACUGGUGAUCAAAACCAUGUUAAACAUUAAACAUGACAUGGAUUCUGUUUGUUGUGAGAAAAGAUCAAUUAAACAUUAAAUAUCCUU
rnacentral:sRNA from 1 species